UACGUAGGUGGCGAGCGUUACUCGGAAUUACUAGGCGUAAAGCGUAUGUAGGUGGUCAGAUAAGUCUAUGGUGAAAUUUCCUGGCUCAACUGGGAAGGGACAUAGAUACUAUCUGGCUUGAGUGUGGGAGGGGAAGACGGAAUUCCUGGUGUAGCGGUGAAAUGCGUAGAUAUCAGGAGGAACACCGAUGGCGAAAGCAGUCUUCUGGCCCAAUACUGACACUGAGGUACGAAAGCUAGGGUAGCAAACAGGAUUAGAUACCCUGGUAGUCCUAGCUGUAAACGAUGUUCACUAGAUGUGGGAGGUAUCGACCCCUUCCGCGUCGACGCUAACGCAUUAAGUGAACCGCCUGGGGAGUACGGCCGCAAGGUUGAA
rnacentral:rRNA from 1 species